UACAGAGGUCCCAAGCGUUGUUCGGAUUCACUGGGCGUAAAGGGUGCGUAGGUGGUGGGGUAAGUCGGAUGUGAAAGCUCGGAGCUCAACUCCGAAAUGGCAUUGGAAACUACCCUGCUAGAGGAUUGGAGGGGGGACUGGAAUACUUGGUGUAGCAGUGAAAUGCGUAGAUAUCAAGUGGAACACCAGUGGCGAAGGCGAGUUCCUGGACAAUUCCUGACACUGAGGCACGAAAGCUAGGGGAGCAAACAGG
rnacentral:rRNA from 1 species